AUAAGGAUCAAAAUAUUUCUUAUGCAAUCCAUGUUGAAAUUGUAGUAGUGAAAUAUUCAUGUACUAUCGGUAUGAUAAAAUUAAAUCGAAUAAAAAGAAAGGAAAAGAAAAAUGAAUAAAAAAAGGAAAAGAUGAAAUAAAAUCAAAUCGAAUAAAAAGAAGGGAAAUAAGACGUCAAACCUAGCCAAAAACAAAAGAAAGGAAAAGAAAAAUGAAUAAAAAAAAGGAAAAGAUGAAAUAAAAUCAAAUCGAAUAAAAAGAAGGGAAAUACUAAAGGGAGUGGAAAAUGUAAACACCUUUGGAUCUGAGUGUUAUAAAUAGUGUUUGUUUUGUCUCUUUAUAUGAUUCUUGGAUACACAAGAAAUAAAAAGAGGUUCAAUAUCAUGUUCCCAUAAGUAUAGUAGUCCAAAAUUUUGUAAAAAUAUCUAUAUCUUUUUGAAUAGUCUCAUGAAGUGUCUUAUUAUUCUCAUCAAUUAUAAAUUGAAUUUUGGGAAUAAUUUUCUCCAUGGAGACAACCUAUUCAACAUGGUGACCCCUUUUUGGAGAAACCUAGGUGUUGCAGUACUAUUGUUACACGUUCUUGAGAAAUUAAGGUAAAUUUG
rnacentral:lncRNA from 1 species